GUUUCAUUUCUGGCCCCCCUGUUGCCUCUGCGUUCUCCCAUAUUCUCCGCUUUGGUUCUCACGGCUCUGCUGUUCCCUCUGAGAGGGGUCUUCCCUCUCCCCCUCCUCUGGCCUCUCUGGGACUUGCUGGAAACUUGGCAAAGCUUCUGGCUAUCACGCAAUAUUGUGCAGAGUUCCCUGUGCUAUACAGGAGGUCCUUGCUGGUUAUCCAUUUUAUGUAUAGUGGGCUUGAGCCAUUGUCUUUCAUUUGAUACCCAAGAAAUGAUUUGGGGAGAGGAGGAAGUCCGUGAAACUCGUGGAAGUAGACUUUAACCUUACUGUGAUAUUUGGAAGGAAAAAAAAAAUCUUUCCAGAAAAAUUUUCUGUACAUCUCAAAGGCCAGAACUGGACCACGGGGCCAUUUUUAGAAGCAGGGAGUCUGGAAAGAACCCAGAGGAUCAAAGUGAGACCAUUCAAGACAGAACCCAGGCCAGCGACCGCGCUGCCUAACUCUUCAAAGUAAAGAGUGUGCACAGGUUAGAAACCCACAGGUGUUUAGGAAUCAGGCCGUUACAAGUUCAGGGGUCUCUGCUUGUAUCAAGUUGUCUCUUUCCUCAUAAGGCUCCAACAGUCCCUUAAUUUAUACGCAUAUAAUCUUUUUUCAUACUGUUACAUCAGGUUUGAUGCAAUUUAUUUGAUUUAAAAAGGUGUCUUGACCCAGCAAUCCCACUGCUGGGCAUACACACCGAGGAAACCAGAAUUGAAAGAGACACAUGUACCCCAAUGUUCAUCGCAGCACUGUUUAUAAUAGCCAGGACAUGGAAA
ensembl:lncRNA